AUUGAACGCUGGCGGCGGGCCUAACACAUGCAAGUCGAACGGGAGGCGGACGGGUGAGUAAUGUCUGGGAAACUGCCUGAUGGAGGGGGAUAACUGCGGGAAACGGUAGCUAAUACCGCAUACCAUCGGAUUGGCCGAGAUGGGAUUAGCUAGUAGGUGGGGUAUAGGCUCAUCUGGGCGACGAUCCCUAGCUGGGCUGAGAGGAUGACCAGCCACACUGGAACUGAGACACGGCCCAGACUCCUACGGGAGGCAGCAGUGGGGAAUAUUGGACAAUGGGCGAAAGUCUGAUGCAGCCAUGCCGCGUGUAUGAAGAAGGCCUUCGGGUUGUAAAGUACUUUCAGUGGGGAGGCGUUACCUGAAGAAGAAGCACCGGCUAACUCCGUGCCAGCAGCCGCGGUAAUUC
rnacentral:rRNA from 1 species